CCUACGGGCGGCAGCAGUAGGGAAUCUUCCACAAUGGGCGAAAGCCUGAUGGAGCAACGCCGCGUGGGUGAUGAAGGUCUUCGGAUCGUAAAACCCUGUUGUUAGAGAAGAAAGUGCGUGUGAGUAACUGUUCACGUCUCGACGGUAUCUAACCAGAAGGCCCGGGCUAACUACGUGCCAGCAGCCGCGGUAAUACGGAGGUGGCAAGCGUUAUCCGGAUUUAUUGGGCGUAAAGGGAACGCAGGCGGUCUUGUAAGUCUGAUGUGAAAGCCUUCGGCUUAACCAGAGGAGUGCAUUGGAAACUGGGAGACUUGAGUGCGGAAGAGGUGGGUGGAACUCCAUGUGUAGCGGUGAAAUGCGUAGAUAUAUGGAAGAACACCAAUGGCGAAAGCGGCUAGCUGGACUGUAACUGACGCUGAGGUUCGAAAGCGUGGGUAGCAAACAGGAUUAGAUACCCUAGUAGUC
rnacentral:rRNA from 1 species